UACGAAGGGGGCUAGCGUUGCUCGGAAUCACUGGGCGUAAAGCGCACGUAGGCGGCUUGGCAAGUCGGAUGUGAAAUCCCUCGGCUCAACCAAGGAAGUGCAUCCGAAACUGCCGAGCUUGAGUACUUAAGAGGAUCGCGGAAUUCCCGGUGUAGAGGUGAAAUUCGUAGAUAUCGGGAGGAACACCAGUGGCGAAGGCGGCGAUCUGGGAAGAUACUGACGCUGAGGUGCGAAAGCGUGGGGAGCGAACAGG
rnacentral:rRNA from 1 species